GACGAGCGCUGGCGGCGCGCCUAACACAUGCAAGUCGAGCGGAGAUACUUGAAGGAAGUUUUCGGAUGGAAUUUGAGUAUUUUAGCGGCGGACGGGUGAGUAACGCGUGAGUGACCUACCUUCCACAGGGGGAUAACGUACCGAAAGGUACACUAAUACCGCAUGAGACCACAGCACUGCCUGGUGCAGGGGUCAAAGGAGCAAUCCGGUGGAAGAUGGACUCGCGUCCGAUUAGAUAGUUGGUGGGGUAACGGCCUACCAAGUCAGCGAUCGGUAGCCGACCUGAGAGGGUGAUCGGCCACAUUGGAACUGAGAGACGGUCCAAACGCCUACGGGAGGCAGCAGUGGGGAAUAUUGGGCAAUGGGGGAAACCCUGACCCAGCGACGCCGCGUGAGGGAAGAAGGUUUUCGGAUUGUAAACCUCUGUUCUUGGUGAAGAGGGAAAGACGGUAGCCAAGGAGGAAGCCCCGGCUAACUACGUGCCAGCCGCCGCAGUAA
rnacentral:rRNA from 1 species